ACUAGGGUUUUGCAGGUUUCAUAUUCAAUGUACGUUCUUGUUUGCUUCAUCGAAUUCUAUAAAGGUUUGGAUUUUCUUUGCCUGAUAGAUGAAAUAACAAAUGGGUAAGAAGCGAAAGCACAGCGAGACGGAGGUUACGGCACCAAAGGACGACACGGCCCCUGAGAGACCCAAGCGGACGCUCAUGGGAUGGAAAGACAAGAACCAAGUGAAGGAACAGGCUGAUUAUACUGUUUUUAGGAACAAAGAGAAAAUCCUUGUUACUUGUUCACGCCGCAUCAGUUACAGGUAUCGGCAUUUGAUGUUGAAUGUUGUUUCUCUCUUGCCACAUUGCAAGAAGGAUAACAAGGUUGAGUCAAAGAGCAGUAAAGGGGCAACGCUGAAUGAGCUUGUUGAGCUUAAAAGCUGUUCUUCUUGCCUAUUUUUUUGAGUGCAGGAAACGUAGUGAUUUGUAUCUUUGGAUGGCCAAGUGCCCCAGUGGUCCCUCAGUGAAAUUCUUAGUUAGUGCUGCGCACACAAUGGAAGAACUGAAGCUCAGUGGAAAUAAUCUAAAAGAUUUGUGGAACUCCAAAGGAGCAUAGGAAAUCAAAGCCUUAUCAUGAUCAUGUCUUUCCUUUCUCCAUCCUUGAUGGCCAUAUUUGGUUCCGAAAUUAUCAGCUAAGUGGGAGUUCAAACUUCCCGUGGAGUUUCUUCUCAAUCUCCUGUGUCAUAUUUAUAAUUUAACUACUGGAGAAUUUGAGUUUUUCAAUCUAAAAAGUUGGCACCACUGCCACAUAUAUCAAUAGUGACAUUGUUAUUGAUGCAGACAUUUUGCCUUGUAAACCACUGAUAAGUGGUCGCUCUAUCCCUCUUUUUAAGUUAUUUGAACUAGGAAUUUCAAAUUAUCAGUCGUAGGUUUAUAUGGGGGAUCUAUGUUGAAACUGACGUCAAGAAAUGACAAGUGGCUUUUACCUGCUGGUGAAGUUACUUUAAAAAUUGAAAUGUUAUAUUGUUUGUGUGAGCAGUCAUGGUGUUUUUCUGUAAAAACCAUGGCAUUGCCAUACUAACUGAAACAAAGUUUCUUUGCACUCCGCAUGUUCUUUCAGAAUCCUUUUCUGAAAGUAAGUCACGGUUCUUGUAGUUAUGUUUCUUAUUGGUGUUUAUUUUACUUCAUCUGUAUCUCAGAUAAUUGUUCCUCAUAACGAAUCUGAUAAAGAUGCUCAAGGAGGCCUUGAUAAAAUGACCCUUACUGAGGUGUGUAUUGAUGUACUGUUACAUUAACGCAUGGUAUCUAUAAUUGUUCCUCAUAAUGAAUCCGAUGAAGUUGCUCGAGGAGGCCUCGAUAAAAUGACCCUUACUGAGGUCGGUCCGACAUUUUGCCUUAAUCCAAUAAAAAUAUUUGGUGGCAGCUUUGGGUCCAACACUUUAUGAGAAUCCGUUUUAUGUAUGUAUAUUUUGAAUUGGGGUUCAUCUUGGAUGGUAAUAAUUCCUAGGUCAUUAGUAUGUUAUUUUUGGCUUAGCGGGUGAGAACGAUGGCUCAUGCAGGAUUCACCACAACUGGCCUGACUGUUAGUCCUUAGUAGCACGUUACCGUGAUUGGCAACAGAUAAGUUUUUGUGGUUUGGGAGGUUUGACAAGCCCUAUGACUGUUGAUACAUGUAGAUUGGUGAUGUGCUAUAAGUCAAAGGCCGCUAGCCCUAUCCUUUCUUUGCCAGCCCAAAUGAAUACCAUCAAGGGAUUGCAUAAAUUUUGGUCUCUAUUUCUUUUUUGGGGAUGCAGGCUGCGAGGUUUUCAUGAACACUCAGUACUCUUCAUAUAGAGCUGGCAUUGCAACAAAUAAAGUUUCUAUGCUGUUUUUCUUCAUUGGAGCAUUGGAGAAGCAGCACAAGGGUGGUAAGUAUGCAAAGAAAGUCAAGGCAAAAACAAGGAGGAAGAUGCAUGAGCUUGAAAAUCCAUUGGAGCCUGAUGAAUUUGCUGAUAUGUGGAAAGAAUGAAAUGGUAAUUUCUUCAACAUUUCCAAGUCUUUUUGAAAUGAGGGGAGAUUCGAAUCCUUAUCACUAAAAUGAUACAUACCAUCUUUAC